UCAGGAUGAACGCUAGCUACAGGCUUAACACAUGCAAGUCGAGGGUAGCAGGGUAGCAAUACCGCUGACGACCGGCGCACGGGUGAGUAACACGUAUCCAACCUUCCCAUAACUCAGGGAUAGCCUUUCGAAAGAAAGAUUAAUACCUGAUAGUACUUUUUCAAGGCAUCUUGAGAAAGUUAAAGAUUUACUGGUUAUGGAUGGGGAUGCGUUCCAUUAGAUAGUUGGUGAGGUAACGGCUCACCAAGUCUUCGAUGGAUAGGGGUUCUGAGAGGAAGGUCCCCCACAUUGGUACUGAGACACGGACCAAACUCCUACGGGAGGCAGCAGUGAGGAAUAUUGGUCAAUGGGCGAGAGCCUGAACCAGCCAAGUAGCGUGAAGGAAUGAAGGUCCUAUGGAUUGUAAACUUCUUUUAUAGUAGAAUAAAGUGAUCCACGUGUGGAUUUUUGUAUGUAUACUAUGAAUAAGGAUCGGCUAACUCCGUGCCAGCCGCGGC
rnacentral:rRNA from 1 species